AUUGAACGCUGGCGGCAGGCCUAACACAUGCAAGUCGAGCGAGCGGCGGACGGGUGAGUAAUGUAUGGGGACUGCCCGAUAGAGGGGGAUAACUACUGGAAACGGUGGCUAAAACCGCAUACUAUCGGAUAACCCAUAUGGGAUUAGCUAGUAGGUGGGGUAAAGGCUCACCUAGGCGACGAGCUCUAGCAGGUCUGAGAGGAUGAUCAGCCACACUGGGACGGAGACACGGCCCAGACUCCUACGGAGGCAGCAGUGGGGAAGAUUGGACAAUGGGCGAAAGCCUGAUGCAGCAAUGCCGCGUGUAUGAAGAAGGCCUUAGGGUUGUAAAGUACUGUCAGCUGGGAGGCGUUACCCGCAGAUGAAGCCCCGGCUAACUCCGUGCCAGCAGCCGCGGUAAUUC
rnacentral:rRNA from 1 species